rnacentral:misc_RNA from 1 species
GAUGAAGAACGGAGUGAAAUGCGAUAAGUAAUGUGAAUUGCAGAAUUCAGUGAAUCAUCGAAUCUUUGAACGCACAUUGCGCCCGGCAGUACUCUGCCGGGCAUGCCUGUUCGAGCGUCAUUUCAACCCUCAAGCCCUGCUUGGUGUUGGGGUCCCACGGCCGCCGUGGGCCCUGAAAGGAAGUGGCGGGCUCGCUACAACUCCGAGCGUAGUAAUUCAUUAUCUCGCUUAGGGCGUUGGGCGGCGCUCCUGCCGUUAAAGAACCAUCUUUAACUCAAGGUUGACCUCGGAUCAGGUAGGAAUACCCGCUGAACUUAAGCAUAUCAAUAAGCGGAGGA